ACUUCUGACACCCUUACUUUUUGACCUGGGAGAGUUUAUUUACAAAGAUGUGACUGCAGAAGUUUGGGAUGCAGAAAAAAAUGAGUGACGGGAAUACAGAGUGGAUUUCCCCCUACCCCCCCAAAACAUACAAAGCAGUGGGGAAAAAAGGAAGUGGUGGAAACAUGAUGGGCUCUCAGCAACCCAACCUGCCCCUCCUUUGCCCCUGAAUCUCUCUGCCCUGAUUUGUUAGAAUUGGAGCGGGAGAGAGAGAGAUUACUGGCAGCAUGAUACCCUUAGAAAUCACUGGAUACCAGAGCAGAAAUUUGCUAUGAAAAAGAUAUUUGUUUCACCUCUGAGCAUACACCUGCCUCACAGGGAGCUUAGAGAGUAGGUGCUGGGUGAGGAGCACAAAGGUCCUUAGAGCAUCAAAGGCUGAGAGUCAUUCAUUGCCCAUUCAUUUCAUUUAGGCAUUUUACUGCCCAGAAUGCCUAAUGUCUGGGAGUACAAAAAGAGGCACAAAGGCCUGGAGACAAGAUAAUAUGGGUCUGGAUAUCACUGCCAUUCCUCUGUGUGAUGGGGCAUCCACCACACACUGGCAGAGAAAAGGUUAAAAGCAGCCUGGGGAGGCUGCUCAGGGAGCAGCCAAUCCAAGAGAGUAAGAAGCAGCCAAUCAGGGCCCAGCAGGCCCAUACAAAAAGAGCUGCUGAGCCAAAAGUGGCCAGUUGCUUCUGGGAACUCAAGGGGUGAGCACUGUGUCUCUAGCAGGCUGACACCUGUGGUACCUUGGACAGAGCAUCUGCUGGCAGGGACUAGGGGAACAAGAUUUGCUCCUGACUGGCUGCUGGGAGUGGAUAGUUGCAUGUCUGAGGAAGGCUGAAGAAGGUGCUAGGGCCAUGGGGAAGUUGCCCAGGGGGAGACAGCAAUGGAGAGAUAGAGGUUAAAGAGAGGCAGCAGGAGGCUGCUAGCUAGCGGGUUCCUGGGCUGGGACCCGGAGUAGUGGGUGGGUUCAGGUCCCCCCCAUUCUCCACUGGGGAAGUGACUGGACUCUAGAACUAAGACACCUCCCCCCUGGAAGGGGGAAAAUAGAGUGACACUACCAAAGGGCCAAGUCAAGAAGAGGAUGCUGCAGUACUUGGACUGAGGCAGGUCUGCAGGUGGUGACCAUGAGGAGUCAGGCACCACCAGGAGAGUCCUCACCAGCUAGCAAGGCUAAUCCCCGUGACGGCCAGCAGGAGUGAGUGGAUGUUUGUGGAAACUGGGAGCCUGCAUGAGGGAGGAACUAGAGCCCAAAUAUUUCUACUGUUUGGACUCCAUCUGGCAGACUGACAGGAAUACCCCCAUUAUCUGUAUCUGUGGAGUCCUGCAACGGAAAUCAAGGAGCAGAUCUAUGCAUAUUUACUUCAGCUGAUGAUCUGGUCCUGUUUUCAUACGGAAGAUAAGAAUGUGACCAUAAGAACAUCUCAAUGCUAGCUGGUAAAGGGUUCUCUGUUCUGUAACAGUGGCCCCUGACAAGCCUGAUACUAUGAAAGCAAUGCACUGAGUGAAGUAUUUAUCCAAAGAGGGUCAAGUAAGUUAUUUAAUAAAAGCAUGUGUCCUACUGAUCUUCAUAAUCUUUGUGAGAUGUGUGUACAAAUGAUAUUUAAGGAGUUGUGUGUAUGUAUGUAUGUAUGUAUGUAUACUGGGAAAUGUUUUAAAGCCUGUGUCAAAGCAGGAUUGUCAAGCAGGUUUUGACCAGACAGAGGAUAUAUGUUCAGAUGUAACAUAAGCAUUGUAAGCCAGCACAAUGGAAACCUGUUUGUAUGUGACAGGAAUAAACCACGGAGUCAUUCUGACUCUGAGGGGAAAAAACAAUAAAAUGUGGGUUCUAAGAAGGCAAAUUGAUACAUAUUUAUCCUUCACUGAGGAAGCAAAAAGGACAGCACUUUUUGCAUUCAUGAAAGGGGAAUCCCAGCUAUGCUGGUUGAUGAUGCUGGAAGAUUGCUUCAGGUGACAAAGUACCAUAUAGAAGGAUUUUCAUCAACUUGCAGAAAUAUAGGACGGAAAGAGACCUUGAUAGGUCAUCUAAUCCAGUCCCCUGCAC